rnacentral:lncRNA from 1 species
CUGAGGCCCCUGUCACCGUGCCCUGCCCUCAGAGAGUCUUCACAAACAGCAUCAACAUGAGCUAUGGGUCCUGUGGCUGCUGACACCAGGCCGGUGGGGCUCCCUUCCACCCGUGACACGGGCUCCGGUCCCGCGGGGGUGUGGCCGCUGUGACGACAAGCACAGUCAGGACAUAGUUGUGCACACAGUCGGUGCAUACUGCUUGCGACAGACGGUCACCGCAUUCUUAUGCCCUGAGCCGGUGACGCCCGUGCCCGCCCCUGCUUUGCCCCUUCCGUGGUCCUCGACCCUGGGGGUCGAUCGGGGUCGGACAGAUAGGACCGGCUCAGUCUUCCUGCCCUGGAGAGCAGCGUUCCCAGCUGAGCUGGUCUGGCUUCAGUGGAUCUCAUGCCCCAUGGGUGCGCGACCACUGGGGAGGCCCGCGAGUGGUGGGACAGGUAGCAGCCGAGAGGUCGUCCCCAGCUGCUUGCAGUCGGUGACCUCCACCCUCACCCCGCCAGGAGGGGUGAGGGUGCGGGAGUGGUGUGGGAGGACUGCCUGCUCAACCUCGGACCCGGAGUCAGGGCCCCCGGCACUGCGGCUGCCCCUGGCCCCUGGGGACAAAUGGCGGUGUCGCAACCACACAGCGGGUGUUUGAUCUGCACUUUGGCCCGUGCCUCCUCCCAGUGUCUGAUAACCCGGUGACCCCCUGCUGAAGAGCUGUGCGGUGCUGGUGUCUAAGUUUUCACGAGUCCUUGUGUCACCAUGCUGAGUACCCCACCGCCCGUGAACCCGCUGAACAGGAUGGACUCAUCUGUUUCUCUUCCUGUUGUUUUACGAUGAUGAAACACAAGGAAUUCAAGCAGGUUCCUGUACAGUGGGACCCGAGGAAGGAGGUGUGCUUGUCAG